rnacentral:misc_RNA from 1 species
UUAAGUUCAGCGGGUAGUCCUACUUGAUUGGGGGUCAGAAUGCACUGGUCAAAGCCCCGAAGGACUUCAAUCAGAGUUCAUCCGUUUGAAAAGCUCGUUCAAAUCAUGCGUUCCCAUUGAAAGUGGAUGCUUACAACAACAGGUCAAGCCGCACGUUAUGAUUCAGCUUGAUGCAUUUCAACCCGGCCCAGUCGUGAAAC